CCUACGGGUGGCAGCAGUGAGGAAUAUUGGUCAAUGGACGAGAGUCUGAACCAGCCAAGUCGCGUGAAGGAUGACUGCCCUAUGGGUUGUAAACUUCUUUUAUCGGGGAGUAAAACGAGGCACGUGUGCCUUUUUGCAUGUACUUUAUGAAUAAGGAUCGGCUAACUCCGUGCCAGCAGCCGCGGUAAUACGGAGGAACCGAGCGUUAUCCGGAUUUAUUGGGUGUAAAGGGAGCGUAGGUGGGUGGUUAAGUCAGUUGUGAAAGUUUGGGGCUCAACCGGAAAACUGCAAUUGAUACUGGCAGUCUUGAGUACAGUAGAGGUAGGCGGAAUUCGUGGUGUAGCGGUGAAAUGCGUAGAUAUUAGGAAGAACCCCAAUGGCGAAGGCAGCUUACUAAACUGUGACUGACACUGAGGCGCGAAAGUGUGGGUAGCAAACAGGAUUAGAUACCCGUGUAGUC
rnacentral:rRNA from 1 species